CGCGCAGGGUCCACUAUCCAAACACCGAAACCUCGCGCUGGUCCCCGCGCCCCCAUUGGCCGCGCUCGCGCGAGCCGGCGACGCCGGAGAGCCGGGAGCCAAUGGGCGCGCGGCUCGCGAGCCCGUCAGCGAGCACGGCUCGGACUCCGUUGCUCUUUUGAGAACCUGCACAGCGCUUUGCCCGCCGCCCCGAGCCACACACCUAGCGCUGGGGUCCCGGUGUCCACAAUCACGAGACGUCUCCAACCUGUCUCUUGUUGAAUGUCAGAGUAAUGGGAAGUGCCAGUGACAAGACGGCGUAUUACUCCUGAUUAAGUGCCGUGUCAACCUAAUUAGCAGAGUAAUUAUAAGGUGCUAAUGAAUGAUUCAAAGUUCUUUGAGUUACAUUUUACUCCAAAUUACCAUUUUAAGAACCCAAUGAAUCUGCGUGGCUGCCAUCUCUUCCGUGACUAGAUGCGGAAUGGUUUUUAGAAAAUGGCCUUUAAUGCCUCCCAGGGCUGGGCCCAAAGCUGGGGUUUCUUGCGAUCGUUUUCUGGGGACAGCUUUCUUUCAGAGGGGACGUGGGAGGGGUGUCCGUCCGGGAGGUCGCAGAGUAGGCGCUGUCUUUCGGUGGGAACCGCGUGGGCGCGCGCCCCGAGUCUGGAGGGGUACUUGGGACACCCGUCCUCCCUCGGUUUUCCUCUGGAAAUGAAGGUGCCCCCCCCCACCCCCAGAAAGAGUCCACGCCGCUUCGGGGGUGUGUUGAGCCGUUUCGUGAUUCUCUUCGCUCCGUGCUUCGCUGGGCUGUCUCGGAGGAGAACAGCGGGGAGAGGAGGGACGGAGGCGAGGAGAAGUACAAUCGGACAGCUCUCGCUUUUCUCGGAAGGCCUGGGCAGUUUGGCGGCGAGGCCCGGACUUGCAAACCCUGGACCGCUUGCGACCUCAGCAGUCCCGGAAAGAGAAGGUGACUCGUGGUUGCUGUUGGAGUGGAAGGAGAGCCUGGGGCUGAAUCUCUCUUCCCUCUCCCUAAGUGGGGGCCGUCGUCCACCGAAGGCCAGCUUCUGAGGAAAUUAAAGAGUCCCGAGUGACACAGCCACGUCACGGGGAGCCCAGGAGCCUCUAGGGCCUCGGGAAGGAAGCUGAUCCAUCCGCUCCCGAGAUUAGCAGGAAGUGGAGGGGCCGAGGCAGGAGAGGAGCGAAAGCCUCAGAGCGCUGAGCGAAGAUGCCAAUCAGAGAGAGGGAAAUUCAUUUGCGAUGUUAAUUAACAAGCGGCUAAUUAAAACGGCACUUUGUGAGCGCUAAUCAAUCGCCUUAUUAAGUUAGAGCCAUCACUGGAACAAAUUGAAAGCUCCCCGCCCCGUCUCCUGUCUGUGAUGCGGGCGGGGCUGGAGGCGGUCCCCGCAGGCUCUCUCAGCCCCUCCUGGCUCCGCAGAGUCCUCCUGCUUCUGGGUGCAAGCCUGCCCCUCGUCCCGAGACCCGCGGGGACGGACGAGCGUCCAGAAGGCAGGCUGUGAUCCAGAUGCACCCGCCAGGGAGCGCGGGGUUGCGUGGAAGGGCAACUCUUGCAGCAGCUGCGAACUCGGACUUUGCCUCGGGGACCGAGUUCCGAGUGCGCGGGAAUGCAAUCUGCGCGUCGCCACCGGGGGAAGGAGGCAACGCAGCCGAGAGGGGGCGCGCUCGGGCUGGGGUCCUGCAGCCCCAUUUCCCCGGACCUACCCGCCGGCGCAUUUCAGAGCUCCUCCUAGGCCCAGAAACCAGGGACGAACACGAAGGCCGGAACGGCCUGAAUCCUCGGCCCUGUCUCUGGGGCCCACGAGAAUGCGCCCGGGUAGGGGAGGGAGAGCGGGUGCUGGUCAACUGGGACCCCUGUGGCCCGUGCCACCCAGUCCCACUUCGGCACGCCGGGGCCCGCAAAUUCGCUAAGAGAAUUAAGAUUUUUGGAACCCUUAUUUUGAGGAGGCUUCCGCAUUUCCCGAUUGUUAAAUGCCCUCUUUUCACCAGAUUCCCGAGGGAGAAGCAUUUGGCAAUAAGAGGGGUCUGUGAAUUUAAAUGCUAAUGAAGUGCG
rnacentral:lncRNA from 1 species